UACGAAGGGGGCUAGCGUUGCUCGGAAUUACUGGGCGUAAAGGGCGCGCAGGCGGCUCAGACAGUCAGAUGUGAAAGCCCCGGGCUUAACCUGGGAACUGCAUUUGAUACUACUGAGCUUGAGUACGGGAGAGGAUAGUGGAAUUCCCAGUGUAGAGGUGAAAUUCGUAGAUAUUGGGAAGAACACCGGUGGCGAAGGCGGCUACCUGGACCGUAACUGACGCUGAGGCGCGAAAGCGUGGGGAGCAAACAGG
rnacentral:rRNA from 1 species